UCCCAGACCCUACGGGAGGCAGCAGUGGGGAAUAUUGCACAAUGGGGGAAACCCUGAUGCAGCGACGCCGCGUGAGCGAUGAAGUAUUUCGGUAUGUAAAGCUCUCUCAGCAGGGAAGAAAAUGACGGUACCUGACUAAGAAGCCCCGGCUAACUACGUGCCAGCAGCCGCGGUAAUACGUAGGGGGCAAGCGUUAUCCGGAUUUACUGGGUGUAAAGGGAGCGUAGACGGCUGUGCAAGCCAGAUGUGAAAGCCCGGGGCUCAACCCCGGGACUGCAUUUGGAACUGUGUAGCUGGAGUGUCGGAGAGGCAGGCGGAAUUCCUAGUGUAGCGGUGAAAUGCGUAGAUAUGUGGAAGAACACCGAUGGCGAAGGCAGCCUCCUGGGACGCAACUGACGCUCAUACACGAAAGCGUGGGGAGCAAACAGGAUUAGAUACCCUAGUAC
rnacentral:rRNA from 1 species